GGGGGGACGAAGAAGGCUAGGCCAUCCAGCUGUUGGUUGCUGGUUUAAGCGUGUAGGCAGUCAUCUUAGGUAAAUCCGGGAUGGCAAUGCCGAGGCGUGAUGACGAACUCCUACGGGAGUGAAGUGGUUGAUGCCCUGCUUCCAAGAAAAGCCUCUAAGCUUCAGGUUAUGCGUGACCGUACCCGAAACCGACACAGGUGGGCAGGGUGAGAAUCCCAAGGCGCUUGAGAGAACUCUGGUGAAGGAACUAGGCAAAAUGGUACCGUAACUUCGGGAGAAGGUACGCCCCUGAGUACGUGAAGGCCCUGCGGCCGGAGCGGAAGGGGGUUGCAGUGACCAGGCCGCUGCGACUGUUUACUAAAAACACAGCACUCUGCAAACUCGAAAGAGGACGUAUAGGGUGUGACGCCUGCCCGGUGCCGGAAGGUUAAGUGAUGGGGUUAUCUUCGGAGAAGCUCUUGAUCGAAGCCCCGGUAAACGGCGGCCGUAACUAUAACGGUCCUAAGGUAGCGAAAUUCCUUGUCGGGUAAGUUCCGACCUGCACGAAUGGCGUAACGAUGGCGGCACUGUCUCCACCAGGGACUCAGUGAAAUUGAAAUCUCGGUCAAGAUGCCGAGUACCCGCGGCUAGACGGAAAGACCCCGUGAACCUUUACUACAGCUUUGCACUGGACUUUGAACCUACUUGUGUAGGAUAGGUGGGAGGCUUUGAAGCCGGGACGCCAGUCCUGGUGGAGCCACCCUUGAAAUACCACCCUGGUAUGUUUGAAGUUCUAACCUCGACCCGUCAUCCGGGUUAGGGACAGUGCAUGGUGGGUAGUUUGACUGGGGCGGUCUCCUCCCAAAGAGUAACGGAGGAGCGCGAAGGUACCCUCAGCGCGGUCGGAAAUCGCGCAUUGAGUGCAAAAGCAUAAGGGUGCUUGACUGCGAGACAGACAUGUCGAGCAGGUGCGAAAGCAGGCUUUAGUGAUCCGGUGGUUCUGUAUGGAAGGGCCAUCGCUCAACGGAUAAAAGGUACUCCGGGGAUAACAGGCUGAUACCGCCCAAGAGUUCAUAUCGACGGCGGUGUUUGGCACCUCGAUGUCGGCUCAUCACAUCCUGGGGCUGAAGUCGGUCCCAAGGGUAUGGCUGUUCGCCAUUUAAAGUGGUACGCGAGCUGGGUUUAGAACGUCGUGAGACAGUUCGGUCCCUAUCUGCCGUGGGCGUUGGAGACUUGAGGGAAGCUGCUCCUAGUACGAGAGGACCGGAGUGGACGUACCCCUGGUGUUCCGGUUGUCACGCCAGUGGCAUUGCCGGGUAGCUAUGUACGGACGGGAUAACCGCUGAAAGCAUCUAAGCGGGAAGCCCCUCCCAAGAUGAGGUCUCCCUGGACCCUUGAGGUCCCUGAAGGUCCGUCGAAGACGACGACGUUGAUAGGCGGGAUGUGGAAGCGCGGUAACGUGUGAAGCUAACCCGUACUAAUUGACCGUGUGACUUGACCAU
rnacentral:rRNA from 1 species